rnacentral:rRNA from 1 species
GACGAACGCUGGCGGCGUGCUUAACACAUGCAAGUCGAGCGGUAAGGCCCUUUCGGGGGUACACGAGCGGCGAACGGGUGAGUAACACGUGGGUGACCUGCCCUCAGCUCUGGGAUAAGCCCGGGAAACUGGGUCUAAUACCGGAUAUGACUCCAUGACGCAUGUUGUGGGGUGGAAAGCCUUGUGCGGCUGAGGAUGGGCCCGCGGCCUAUCAGCUUGUUGGUGGGGUGAUGGCCACCAAGGCGACGACGGGUAGCCGGCCUGAGAGGGCGACCGGCCACACUGGGACUGAGAUACGGCCCAGACUCCUACGGGAGGCAGCAGUGGGGAAUCUUGCGCAAUGGGCGAAAGCCUGACGCAGCGACGCCGCGUGAGGGAUGACGGCCUGU